rnacentral:rRNA from 1 species
UACGGAGGGUGCAAGCGUUAUCCGGAUUUACUGGGUUUAAAGGGUGCGCAGGCGGUUAUGUAAGUCAGUGGUGAAAUCUCUAGGCUUAACCUGGAAAUUGCCGUUGAUACUAUAUAUCUUGAAUGCUGUGGAGGUAAGCGGAAUAUGUCAUGUAGCGGUGAAAUGCUUAGAUAUGACAUAGAACACCGAUUGCGAAGGCAGCUUGCUACACGGUCAUUGACACUGAGGCACGAAAGCGUGGGGAGCAAACAGG